UACGUAGGGGGCGAGCGUUGUCCGGAGUUACUGGGCGUAAAGGGCGUGCAGGCGGUGCAGUAAGUUCAGAGUGACAGUUCCCGGCUCAACUGGGGAAGGCCUCUGAAAACUGCUGGACUUGAGGGCCAGAGAGGGACAUAGAAUUCCGGGUGGAGUGGUGAAAUGCGUAGAUAUCCGGAGGAAUACCAAAGGCGAAGGCAGUGUCCUGGCUGGCAUCUGACGCUGAGGCGCGAAAGCUAGGGGAGCGAACAGG
rnacentral:rRNA from 1 species